GGCCACAGCUCUACUUUACAUUGAUAUGACGGGGGCCGUGGAAGUGUGGUACGUACCCUUCGGUUGCCUUUCCAGGUUUACGCUGUGAACUUUGUCACCCCUUGAGCCAUUAAUUGUACUGUUCUGCUGUUCGCGGCGAGCCACAGGCUCAGCAGGCCACAUGUUGGGAGAUGUGUGGAGGAAUUCUGAAACACCAAUUAUAUAUGCUACAUUGGGGCAGCGGAACAAGCUGCGAAGCCAACACUGACUUAUGACAAACUUGUCACCAAAUGGCGACAUUUUUGUUCACAUUUGGAAUGUAGAAGAAUGUAGGUCCAAUUUAAAGUAAAGCAAAACAGUAAAGGUGCAAUCAGCUGAAAGAUGGGUUCAUCACAGCAACACAUGAUUGAUUUUAUUGUAAAAUGAUAUAUAGAUGCUUUCAACAUUAUUGGCCUUAGAGCUUAGAGGUUAGGUCAAUAUAGCCGUGACUUUCUACUGUCUGAGCAGAGUAUACUGGGGUUUAAACUGUCAAGCGUUGAGGGCUGCGUUUUUCUUGACAUCGUAAAACAGCGCUCCUGCUCAUGAAGAGGAAGCAUCUAACUGGAGAAUAAGUGACAAUGAAAAUCACUGAUGCCCCACUUGCUUUCAGUGCUAUUGCUGGAAAAAGAGGGAGUGUACUGAAUAAUCAACUUACCCUUGAGAUAAGCUUAGAUAGAAAAUACAACCUAUGCAUUUCUUUGCAUUCUGGAAAACUGAACCUAUGCAUGUAAUGCAGAGGACAAAUUGUCAGCAGACACACACAACUCAAACACACACACACACACACACACACACACACACACACACACACACAAACAAACAUACAUAUAUAUUUGGGCACAACACACAUUAGGAUAUUCUGCUUUCAAGGCUAGACAGAAAUAUCAAUUCCAUGAACUCAGCAAUCUGCAGAGUGCGUGUCAGUACACAGCAAAGCAAAAUGGAUGCUGGGAGCAAGCAUUGGUAAGCACUCCUCUGUAUACAUGUUCAUGUGUGUGUGUGUGUGUGUGUGUGCGUGUGUCCGUGUGUACGGCCUUCGGGGUGUACAUAUUUGUGGUAAAGUGUAAAAAAAAUGCUGAAAUAAAGAAAAUAAACGAAAGCUGGUGGUAAUGACUGGGUCACUCUUUCAAUGCGCACACUCAGACAAACGUAAAAUUAGCCUCAGAGGGUUUUACAGCCUGUACACAUGCAACAUCCUCGGCCCCAAAACCCUCACAUCGGCACAGGAAAAACUCCCCCCCCCCAAAAAAAAAACCCUUUGAUGGGGGAAAAAGGUAAGAAACCUUGGGGAGAACGUCAGAGGAGGGACUUGUCUCCCGGGACUCCAGUGGAUGUCAUGUGUACAGAAUGAACAACGUAAAAGACGUACAAUACGUUCACGACGAAAGAAGGAAAGAAGCAAAGCGGGUAAUGUUGGUUUAUGAUGACAGUAAUAGUAAUGUGAAUAAUAUUUAUAAUAAUGAUAGCAGCAGGGUCAUUAAUCCUAUUGACACUACUAACAGAUCAUUUGAUCAUAUUAUUAUUUUAUUUUAUUUUUUUCUAAAUCACCCAUUUUGCAACUUUUUUUUCUCUCUAGUUAUGUGAAUUAUUAUUUGACAUACUUUACAUUUGGCUUUCCUUACAGUUUGUAUUUAAAUAUACUUAAAUAAAAGAAAUAUCAUGAAAACAUAAUAAUGAGAAUGUAGAAGGCCAUGUUAAAUCAAGUGCCAGAUCUUUUCUUUCUGCAUUUGGUUUUGAUUCUGCAAGUGAGUGAGCAUUUGUAUAUGGGGGAGUGUGUGUUUUAAGGACCCACACAUACAUGAUAAAGCAAUUUAAACAGUAGUUUUUGUGAUGAUAUAUACAAUUCAUCCUCCAUCCAGUUUUCCUUGCUUGCUGUCAUGGCCACAACCAUCAUGUCAGGAUACAUUUUUUAGUGAAUAAUGUAGAUUUCAUAUCUUUAGUAAGUUCCAUUCCAACUUACAAUUGUUUACGGUUGUGUUGAGGUUACUGUAAGGUUAAACUCUAAUUAAGAUAUGGCAGCUUUCAUUUUCUGUUCUUCAAACAUUGGAUGUGAUAACAUUUUUCCACAUUAAUCAUGACUGUAGAGACGGUGAAGUUACAUUUUCUUCUGUUACUUUCACCUUUCAAUUCUGUCACCUUUCUUUUCGGCGGCACGUGGUGUGGUGGUUUUGCACCGUUGCCUCACAGCAAGUGAGCGAGGGUUGUCUCCAGGUACGGGCUUCCUCCGAUUGUCCAAAGACCCUCCCACCGCUGUGUCAGCCCUGUGAUUGACUGGGGACCCCUGCAGGAUUAACAUCAAUUGGGUCCAUCCCGCUGUGACCCUCUAAGGACAAGCGGUAUAGAAGAUGACUGACUGAGCUUUCUUGAUGUUAAAGGGUUGAAAAGCAAUAAUUAAAAAAUCAUUCAAAUUUGAUGAACUUCUAUUUCAGUUUUACUUCUCUGCUGUGUUGUUGUGUCAUAUCUAUUGUAGUCAGACAUUGACAACGUCCCCAUCCAAGUGACAAGGGAGUUGACAAAGAUGAAAUAGAGUACAUCCUCUUCCCCUAGGAUAUACACAUACAAUAAGACCAGUAAUAUCAAUGAAUUACUUUGAUUUUCUUAUCGGCAAAUCGAUCUCACAGACCUGUCUGUCCUACUAAAUGACCAGUGUGUUUGUUGGAUUGGCGCAAAUGAGAAAUGUUUUUCACAGUACUGUUUAAUUGCUUGACAACAUGAUUAAGAACACUGCGUUGAAUAAUAAGAUUUCAU
ensembl:lncRNA